CGGUUAGUUCUGUGUGCGGUAUCUUUUGGCCAUCGCGCCAUAUGUACUUCUUUGUACACAAAGUGUUUAAUCUUUUGCUAUAAAAACAUUAUCAUACAACUAUAAAGGACUAACUCGUAACCAAUACUAAUAGAUGUCAUAAACAAACGCCUAGUAACUUAUUUUUUCACCUAUAAUAUCAAUCUUUGAAAAAAAUGGCGGAUAGCGAUGAUGAUAGUGUAGCGUCCUUUAAGACGGCUGAGGAGAUCAGCCCGUCGCGUGGGAAAACAAUUUUUCCUCUAAUGAGCCACGAG